UUAUGGGAGGCAACCCAUAUUUUCUUUUCAAAAUUUUAAGUAAUUUUUGAAAUUUUAUUUUUUAGAGUAGUUUAUUAUAUUAUUUUUGACCAAUCUACCAAGUUUCACAAUUUUUGAAAUUGAUAUGGACUAGAUUUGAAGUGUUGGAGUGACUGCAUUGUGCAAAAGUUGCACAAAACUGCUUCAGUUAAAUCACUACAACAGACCUGUCUAAAAGAGGAGUUUCACCCAUUUACCCUUUUUAAGUCCCUUGGACUUCCUCAGUAAAAACAAACAAAAGAAAAAGACACCCCUGGCCUUGAUGCUAACUCACAGCACACUCACACGGACACACACUCACGCACACAAACACACAGAUAAAACAACACACACAUCUCACAAAAACGCAGUAGUUGCUGCCCAAGAAAAAAAAUUCUCCUUUCCUUCUGCUGCUGCCUCAUUCUCGCUCCAGGUUUUAUGUGAUUUAGAAGUGAUCGGAAGAAACCAAGUGAAAAUUAAGUCAAAAAGAGGCCAAAUGGGACAGUUUUGCAAAACUGUCAAAACCGGACAGUUUUGCAAAAACGGGACAGAUUUGCAAAUCUGAAAAUAUGGGCUGUUUUGGUCAUAUUUUAAUGUGGGAAUAUUGGGAGCUAUAAGAGGAUGACUUGGGAGAAAAUAUCAUUAUCUUUGGCAUAACACACAAGUUCUUGGAGGCUAGGGUUCAUCACCAACACCUUGGAAGAGAAGAUUUGGAGGGACCCAAUGAGAAAUUCUUUACCCAUUUCUUCUACUCUUGCUAUGUAUUGAAUAUUUAUGUGUGUGGUAUUUCAUUCCAAUGCUUGAAUCUUGUUUAUGCAAAUAUUCAUAUGUUUAGUUUGGAAGAAUCUCUUAUUUUUCUUAUGUAUUGAAUUACUUUUAUUUCUAA